GACAGAGGGUGCAAACGUUGCUCGGAAUUACUGGGCGUAAAGCGCCCGUAGGCGGCUUUGUAAGUUAGAGGUGAAAGCCUGGAGCUCAACUCCAGAACUGCCUUUAAGACUGCAUCGCUUGAAUCCAGGAGAGGUGAGUGGAAUUCCGAGUGUAGAGGUGAAAUUCGUAGAUAUUCGGAAGAACACCAGUGGCGAAGGCGGCUCACUGGACUGGUAUUGACGCUGAGGUGCGAAAGCGUGGGGAGCAAACAGG
rnacentral:rRNA from 1 species